UAAAUGGAUUGAACCCAUCAGUA
rnacentral:snRNA from 1 species